rnacentral:rRNA from 1 species
AUUGCAGUUGAUACUGUCAGUCUUGAGUACAGUAGAGGUGGGCGGAAUUCGUGGUGUAGCGGUGAAAUGCUUAGAUAUCACGAAGAACUCCGAUUGCGAAGGCAGCUCACUGGACUGCAACUGACACUGAUGCUCGAAAGUGUGGGUAUCAAACAGGAUUAGAUACCCUGGUAGUCCACACAGUAAACGAUGAAUACUCGCUGUUUGCGAUAUACAGUAAGCGGCCAAGCGAAAGCAUUAAGUAUUCCACCUGGGGAGUACGCCGGCAACGGUGAAACUCAAAGGAAUUGACGGGGGCCCGCACAAGCGGAGGAACAUGUGGUUUAAUUCGAUGAUACGCGAGGAACCUUACCCGGGCUUAAAUUGCAGUGGAAUGAUGUGGAAACAUGUCAGUGAGCAAUCACCGCUGUGAAGGUGCUGCAUGGUUGUCGUCAGCUCGUGCCGUGAGGUGUCGGCUUAAGUGCCAUAACGAGCGCAACCCUUAUCUUCAGUUACUAACAGGUCAUGCUGAGGACUCUGGAGAGACUGCCGUCGUAAGAUGUGAGGAAGGUGGGGAUGACGUCAAAUCAGCACGGCCCUUACGUCCGGGGCUACACACGUGUUACAAUGGGGGGUACAGAAGGCAGCUAGCGGGUGACCGUAUGCUAAUCCCAAAAUCCUCUCUCAGUUCGGAUCGAAGUCUGCAACCCGACUUCGUGAAGCUGGAUUCGCUAGUAAUCGCGCAUCAGCCACGGCGCGGUGAAUACGUUCCCGGGCCUUGUACACACCGCCCGUCAAGCCAUGGGAGCCGGNNNNNNNUGAAGUACGUAACCGCAAGGAUCGUCCUAGGGUAAAACUGGUGACUGGGGAUGAGUCGUAACAAGGUAACCA